CCUGCACCCAAACCCAAAGGUCACAUCAGGUCAGUGGUGUGGCUUUGUCUGGUGUGCAAAGAGAAAACCGGUCCUUGUCGCCUUUCUCUGGCGCCGUGGUGUCUUUGAAAGUGAAUUCAAGGUUCAACAAGU